CCCUUAGACGUUCUGGGCCGCACGCGCGCUACACUGACCAGUGCAACAAGCAUCCGUCCUUGGCCGACAGGCCCGGGCAUUCUUUGAACGCUGGUCGUGAUGGGGAUAGACUUUUGCAAUUUUUGGUCUUCAACGAGGAAUUCCUAGUAAACGCAAGUCAUCAACUUGCAUUGAUUACGUCCCUGCCCUUUGUACACACCGCCCGUCGCACCUACCGAUUGAAUGGUCCGGUGAAGCCUCCGGAUUGGCGCGCACCUCGGUGCCGCCGAGAAGUUGGCUAAACCUUACCAUUUAGAGGAAGGUGAAGUCGUAACA
rnacentral:rRNA from 1 species